ACAAAACAAAACAAACAAAAAA
rnacentral:sRNA from 1 species